rnacentral:tRNA from 1 species
GCCUGAGUGACGAAAUUGGUAGACGUAGUGGAUUCAAAAUCCACCGAUGAAUAAUCGUGUCGGUUCGAGUCCGACCUCAGGCACCA